UGAUCAGAUUCUCUGCACACAUGCGGGGUUGAAACUGCGUCAGUAGAGAAAAGAAAACUCCAUAGAUGGAUAUAGUGGCAGAACUAUAGGGAGUAUCGAAGAGGGGAAAAGUUUGAAUUGAAAGUAUAUGCGGUUUAGGGGAAUCUGAAUCAUGCAGUGUUACUUUCGCUUCUUCUAGGCUUCUAUUUCCUACGAACAAACCAUUGGGGAGAUAGAAGUUCUGAUUUAGAUAAUGUCUUGCAGUCUUUGGAAUAACACAUUCUGCUGGAGGGGGAGUUCUGGCAAUGAAGGUUGUGCUCUGGGGAUAGAGAGCCGUCCCCUCUGCCCGCACACACUGUGGUUCUGCUCUGGGUGUCACCUGGGGGCCUUUCCCCGCAAAACAUCCCUGGGUUUGGGUGGGUGCACUGUGUAAAAUGGGAGCACCGAUGGGAACCCCUCCUUUUCCUUUUUCCUGUAGCUCUGCUCAGACCAUUCUCUGUUAGCAUGGUAGUGGUACAAAGUGUGUGGUCUUUCAGCUCUGACUAAUGCAUUUUGUGCUGUGUGACUGAAAAUGCCUCAUAGCCUGCCAGGGCUGACUGAGGGCUGUGGAAUGUGGUGCCUUUUCUCUGUUUCUCUGAUUCUUUUUUCUUCUUUUUUUUUUUCUUUUUUUCUUUUCUUUUUUUUUUUUUUCUUCAGCAGAAGUGUGUAGGCAGCCUGUUGAGAAACCUCAAGAUGCAGGGGAAAUGCUUGCAUGUUGUGGAAUGUGGCUUCCCCUGGGAGACCCCCACUAGGCAGUCAGUGAAUGAGCGGGGCUGGAGAAUGAGAAAGGGAGGAGGCUGGAGGCAGAGAGAGAUAGGAAAGAGUGAGAGAGGAGGAAGGAAGGAGGUGGAAGCGGAGGGGCCCGUUUCCCUUUUUCUGAAGCAAUGACAGCUGGUUCUGUCCAGACUCACAUGACAAAGUGCUGUGGAGAGCAGUGCUUGAGCUUGAAGCUAGCCAGCACUGAUGGUCAGCUGAUCUUAUUCUCUUCUUUUCCAGGCUUUGGUCAGGUGAUCCACAGUGACCGGUCAGCCCACCAAGAAGAUACCUCAGCAACCAGGCGGGCGCGGGGUUUGCUCCCUUAAGUCCUACGCCGCUGCUGCAAGCCGAGGAGAGCGGCGCCCGGCUUCGCCUACAGCGAGCCGCCCGGCCGCCUUCUGUGGUAAAAGCGCGGCGCCCCCUCCCGGGCGCUCCCGCCGCUGCAGCGCCCCGCGGGCUGCGCACUCCGGCGGGCAGCCGGAGGCCGCAGCGACCCCUUCUCCUCCUUCCGAGAGAGCCGGGGAUGCUGGGGACAGCUCGGGAACGUCGAGCGUUUCGCUGGUUUCUCGCUUUCUGCCGGCGUUUCACGCCUGUUUCUUUUAUGAGUGCGGUUUCCACAAUGUAAUACGCAGCAAACGGCGAUGUGAGAUGAGAGAAAAUACUAAAAAGAAUACACCUCGAUGAAAACUGGCAUCUGUUCUGAAACAAUGAAAAGAGGCCCUUGAUAAGUCUUCUUUAUAUUAACUGCGAUGCAGCAUUGCUAUUAGCAAAGGAAAUUUAGCCUUAGUGCAAAGUAUUCUGUCAGAAAUAUCUGUUGUAACCUUCCCAGAUCAUACAGGACUAUAACAAAAUGUUAUAAGUCCCUAAAGCUUCUCAAAUAAAGUGUUUCAUGUUAGUGUUUAAUUUCAAUAUGUGUGAGUUAUUUCCAAAUCAAUUUUGCCUUACCUCUUAGCAGCUGAGAAGAAAGAAAAAAUCUUAGGACUAUAUGUGCUGAUAGAAGUAAUAAGCUUCUGAAAUAGUCAUGAGCCCUGACACUUAAUCACUGUUUAUGAGGAAUGAUUAUUCAGAAGUGAAAGUCCUGCCACAACAUGCUUAUAUUCCAAUUGAAAGCUGUCAUCGCAGUACCUGCUCAAAACUUCAGUUACAUGGACUGAAUAUCCUGUAAGUUCAUCUUGUUAAAGGAGUAAACAAGAAGCUAUACGAGAUGUUAAAAUGCCCCUGUACUUUUGGCCCUGUACCCUAAGAGUAAAGCAGAUACUCUGUAAAGUGCAAGAGCUAGAUACAUGGAAGUGCUUGUGAGGGACUCGUCUCUGGCAGCUUCCCGUCAUUUCCACCUGCUGCCGCAUGGAAUGCUUUGACCAGUGAUAGCAGAUUGUGCUGUGUGGUUCUGAUGAGAAGGGUUGUUCUGAGCUUGAAUGCAGAAGGUGCCAUACCAAACAUCACAAAUAUCCUGUGUUUUAAAAUUACCGAAGACAAUGAAGCAUGAAAAGACUUCGUAAGUGGUGCUAAUGAUGUGCAAAUUCUCCAGCAUAAUCAUGACUUGCUACGUGCUUAUGGAAAGCAAAAUAAGUGAGAGAUGAAAAAAGCAAUGCUGCAAUUUAAGCAAAGCUAACUAGAGCUUGAUUUGAUUUUGUUCUGCUUAUUCAGAUCAUAGCUAUCCUUACAGAGGACCACCUUUUCUGAGGAACUGAUGUGUGCGUGCACGUGUAUUUCUUUCAGUAGUGUUACUAUUUGUCAUUUAUAACAGUAUAAUAUGGGUAAGUCCCAAACGAUGACCUGCCAUUGAGGUUGGUGAUCAUUUACAUCUUAACAAGAGCAAUCAGAACGUCCACGUUCAAGGUGCUUUCUCAAGUGCCACAUUCCAAGCUCUUUAGCACUAGCACAUGUUCUGAAGCUGUAAUUUAGUUUGUUAUUCAAUUAAAAUUCAUCCCAACCAAAACAAUGUAUUAUGACAAGAUAAUAUAGUUUGUACUCUGCAGUGACACUGCUCAAGAUGUUGUUUUCCUAAGGAUUUUUUCCCCUUAAAAUAAAGCCCUGUUUUUGUUGCAGAUCUUCUGUUUUGUCAUAGUAAUCAUAUCUCAAGAGCCACUUUUCCAAAUGUUUUCUCCUCAUUUAUGUAAUUAUUAAAUAUCUGAGUGUGCAUUGCAUGAUAGAAAAGUUGUAAUCCUGUCAGCAUCAACAUCUCAUCUGUGAUACAAAUUCAUUGUUUUUUUUUCCAAAUAAGACUGCCCCCCACUAAAGAGCUCCCAUUGCUCUCCAGAAUAAGGUGUACCGUCUUGUCCUCUCCAAAUCUACAAGAAGUUCACGUGUGUUGAGAGGCCAG
ensembl:lncRNA